rnacentral:misc_RNA from 1 species
GAUUUGCGUAAAGGAUAGAGGCGGUAUCCUCGAAAUGUAACGGAGAGAUAAAGCCGAAAGCCUGACCCGAA